rnacentral:rRNA from 1 species
UACAGAGGGUGCAAGCGUUGUUCGGAAUCAUUGGGCGUAAAGGGCGUGUAGGCGGCUUGUUAAGUCAUGUGUGAAAUCCCUCGGCUCAACCGGGGAACGACGCUUGAAACUGGCAAGCUAGAGUACCAAAGAGGGCGGUGGAAUUCCCGGUGUAGAGGUGAAAUUCGUAGAUAUUGGGAAGAACACCGGUGGCGAAGGCGGCGAGCUGGUCCAUUACUGACGCUGAGGCGCGAAAGCGUGGGGAGCAAACAGG